ensembl:snoRNA
AUCCUUUUGUAAUUCAACAAUGUGAUGAUUGGGCUUUCACACUCAUGUGUGUCAAACCUUGUUAACAUCUGCACGGUACCUGUCUGAAG